UAUAGGGCGUACAUAGUUGGAAUAUAGUAGUAUACGAGUCAAAAUGUAAUAGUUAUAUAGUACAAUAUACAAUAGCUAUAUAAUAGAAAUAUGACAGGUAUGCUACUGCAUACAAUACAGAUAUGAGGACUGAUAUGUGUGUUGGGUAUGAGUAUCAAAAAGGCAUCCGGAAUCGAGUAUCAACCUAGCAAGUAUCGGCCCCAAGGAUUGUGCGCAACAUCCAGGUGAAUGAGGCCUCAUUGCCGAUGGGGGUCCAGGCCACCCCGAACCAGGUUUAGGUUCAGAGUUUAGGUUUCCUUCUUCUUUCAUUUUUGAGGGUCCAGGUUAGGGUUUAGGUUCACUUCUUCUUUUAUUUUUAUUUUUUGUUUAUUUUUUAUCCUAUUUUUUUAUUUUAUACUUUGUGCGUGAGCUUCGACACCUACGGCGUUGUUCUCUUCUUUGGUGUACUGUGGAGGAGCUCGGAGCUUGGUGAAGAGGGUGCUACAGUGCAACUCAAGUUUCGAUAAUUCCUUCGUGUGACGGUGGUGGCGUAAAGUCGAUUAUCGACAGCCACAAGUUUUUUUUGUCUUCCUUUUGUUAAACUUCCGGGUAGCCACUGUUAUGGCAUCCUACAUGUAGUCGUGAUGUCCUUGCUAGUGCAACACUCUAGCAGUGAUCCGUGGUGGAUCAGUUCACGGAUCCUUUCCACAUUUUUAUUGCUGCUCAUUCAGCUAGAGCUAGCAUUGUGAGAGGACUGCAUUGACUCGUUGUAGAAGGCUGGUAUCGCGUGGCUCUCUUGCGGUGCGGCAUUGAUUCAUUUGGUUCAGCAAGGCUGCGGGGUUACGAUGAGGGCGAUUGGUUUUGGUUUGUCUUUGUUUUUAUUGAUUCAACACUACGUCUUCAAAACUUUGCGACUGAACAAGGGAGUUGAAUCUCCUUGCGUCACAUGGUUGUAAUUCAUUGCUAGCGGCACUUGUGCCAGUAGUUCUUAAUUGAUAUUACCUCCGUAGUUCAGUGCCGUCUUCUUCCUUCCCUCAGCAUUAGUGGCGCUGUGAAGAAGGGUGGACUUGAAGCUCGUAGACUCUCUUUAAUAAUCUAUAGUGGUUGUAUGCACUAAGGCCUCUUCAAGUUGGCGGAAUCCAAAGUGAGGCGUGGUGUCAAUGUUGGAAGUCAUCAUCAUAUUCAAAAGCAUUGUUGAUUAGUUGCUACGCGGUUGAGUAGUUGUGUCGAAUCCAAUUUGGAUUCCUUAGUCAAGUCAAACUAGUGGAGUUCAAACUAUCGAUGAGACUCGACGCUUCCAAGACAAGUGCUGUUGAACUGAUUCAAGUCGUCGUUAUAUUUGCGUUGUUGCAACCAAUACUCAAUCAGGACAAUUUGUGGUGCCUUGCUCCAAUUCUAUCUCAUUUGCAAUACAUUAGUAAUAUCUUAAGUAGUAAGAAGAACUGUAGCGGUAACAAAGGUAUACAAUAUAGUUGUAGUAAGAGUAGACGUAGGAAGCUUAGAAAGUAUUGGUAAUAUUUAGUACAAAUCCACAUUCAUAGCGAUGGUGCGUGGUUAGUACGGCGGUACUGUAAAGGUCAGUUUUAGUAUUGCUUUUAUUUUAGUUCUAUUUUGUCGAUCUAGCAUCAUAAGCAACAAUUCAUAAGAUAGCAAGUGAGCAAAGAAAGACCAAGCCGAAGCAUCUGAGCUCACAUCUUGAGAAUUGGUGAUUAAGCUGCUAUGACUAAGGUGUUUGACAAGAUUGUUCAUGAGGCCAACUAUGGCUGCGCAUGCUUCUAAUAAUAAGAACUGUCCGAACGAUUGUUGUAGCCAAAUUCAAAUGUGGGACUGGCGCAAGGACGGAUGGUCGGAGUGAAGGUUCAAAGGUGA